CUACGGGGCGCUGCAGUCGAGAAUCUUCCACAAUGCACGAAAGUGUGAUGGAGCGACGUCGCGUGCGAGAUGAAGGCCUUCGGGUCGUAAAUCGUUUUUAUAAGGGAAGAAUUUAGAUGACAUUACCUUAUGAAUAAGGGGUUGCUAAUUGCGUGCCAGCAGCAGCGGUAAUACGCAAACCCCAAGCGUUAUCCGGAUUUAUUGGGCGUAAAGGGUGGGUAGGCGGAUAUAGCAGUCAGUCGUUAAAUCACUGGGCUCAACCCAGUAAUCGCGAUUGAAACAAUAUGUCUAGAGAUAAGUAGAGGUCAACGGAACUCAUGGUGUAGCAGUGAAAUGCGUUGAUAUCAUGGGGAACACCAAAGGCGAAGGCAGUUGACUGGGCUUUAUCUGACGCUGAGCCACGAAAGCGUGGGGAGUGAAGGGGAUUAGAUACCCCCGUAGUC
rnacentral:rRNA from 1 species